rnacentral:tRNA from 1 species
GAGGGUGUAGCUCAGUGGUAUAGCGCAUGCCUAGCAUGCAUGAGGUCCUGGGUUCGAUCCCCAGCACCUCCA